AAAAUGGAAGUUCUGAAAAUAAAUAAAAAGAAACAUCAAUAAAUAAAAGCCCCAUUUUCAUAUUCUUAUUUGACCUCUUGCCUCUCCAUCAUUCUUAAAUUUGACCUCCAUCAUUCUUAAAUUUGACCUCCAUCAUUCUUAAAUUUGACCUCCAUCAUUCUUAAUCCUCAUGUUCUUAAUGGACAUCCCUCCCACCCUAUCUGGGCCUUCUGAGACUGUUCCCCCAGCCCCAGUCAGGAGGGCUUGUCCACAAGUUGCUGUCUGAACUGGGCAAGCCUCCUGGCUUCCCUGAAAUGGUGCUGAUGUCUUCACUUCCUGCCACCUUGGCAACCUUUGUAGUUGCUCUCUUUUUGCCAGGGGAACAAAUUAAGAGAGAGAAGAGUGAUAGUGUCUACAUGUGGUCUGCUCACUCAGCCAGUAUUUUCCACAGCCAGUCUUUCCCUAGACCAGCAUCUGAGCGUGCCUUGUCUAUGGGCCACCUAUACUAUUAUUUACUGAUGACUUCCUCAUUCACUUUCUGUUUUUUAUCUAAAUGCCAGCCUUAGCCUUGUUCAAGGUAACAGUAUACAGGAAAUCAUGGGUUUCGAGCAUGUUUUGUCAAUAUUUAGUAAAAUGCGUUCAUAGCUAUUAUUAUAAAGACUUUAGGUACAUUCCUGCACCACUUAAUAACUGAAUCAAUCUCCUUUCAUCAGGGGGAACAAACCUGUCUUUGGCUCACACUGUUUGAGGAUAUAAAAGGAAGCAUACAGUGGGCCUCAUUCUGACAAAUUUUUAGUAAAUCACAGGUUGCCUUUCCUAAAUCCCUCAAUAUGAUGGCUAGUCUGUUUCAUAGUGAAUAAAAAGUGAUCCUGGAUGAAUGAAUAAAGUGAAAUUCAGAUAAUUUUUCUCAAAACUGAAAUUGUUUAAAUCUUCCUUUAGUUCUCUUUUUUCUGCCUGCCCCUUCUUUCAUAUACCCUGUUUUUCACCUCUUUUGUCUCAGUCCCAUCUGAUAUUUGAAUAACAAUAUGUAAUUUCAGGUUUAGGAUUGUUGAUCUGUAAAUCUCAGCCUAGUGCUUUCAACUCCUGGCUUUCUCCUAAGUUCACCCUCCUCCCUUCCCUCCUUUCUGUAAGGACUCUAAACGAUUGCGCUUCAUUAAGUUAUUUUUAUAAUGAGUUCCUGUUACCAGGGAAUACAGAGUUAAAAAGGUGAUCUCACUAAAAGUAAUUAGCAUAAGACCUGCUGGACCUGUAGAAGUGACUGGAUGGUAAUCAAUAGCAAUAUGAUUACACCCAUGCAGCAAUUAUAAAUUAUUUAAAACACUACCCCUAGGUUACUGACUAGUUGCCUUUAAAUUAAAUUCUCUGUCGAUAAUUGAUGCAAAGAAUUAAUGUGAGAACACCUUCAGUUACUGCAACUUUUUCAAGGUGGCAUAAAAUAUUGAACUAUUGCCCGUCAUUAGCAGCUAAGCUGUCUGUUUGCUCUAACAUCCUUCUUUUCUAAAUUGGUCAAGAAAGAGUCUCAGAUCUUGAAAGAUGACAAAUGAUUUCGAAUCCACUGCUGGGUAUUCUUCUAAGAGCACUGAAAUGUCCCAGUGAGAAAUUUCAUAUAUGAAGGCAAAGGAAAAAAAAAUUAAACUUUAAAUAAUGACCAGUUAUACUUCAUCAACUCUAACAAAUGAAGGAGCAGAGUUGGUUUUCCGGAGUUUGCUUCAGUUCUUUGAUAUGGUCAGUGUAGGUCGGGGAGGUCUUCCCUAGCUUGAGAAAUCAUAACCUAGGAUAUUUAAGCUGUCAGUAAUAGUGUUUUAAAACUCCAGGCCUAUAAUAAAGUAAAAAGUGUGUCUGAUAAAAUGGGUUUUUUUCCUUGCUUAGUGAAUGUCUUCUGUUUCUCGCUAAACAUUGUCACUUGCCAAACCAUGUUUUCUGUUUCAUACUAAUUUUCUACUGGCAGUGAGACCAGCGGAAUCUAAGAAAUUGCAUACGAAAUUCAAGGAUUGGAAAGAAGAAGAGGAAGUCAACCAUUAGCAACCCUAGCUCCUCUUUAAUCUCAAGAGGCAAGAGGUACUCGAUGAACCACAUGCUAAAAUAAAAAAAAA
rnacentral:lncRNA from 10 species